rnacentral:rRNA from 1 species
UACGUAGGGGGCAAGCGUUGUCCGGAUUUAUUGGGCGUAAAGAGCGUGUAGGCGGCUUUGCAAGUCCGUUGUGAAAACUCGAGGCUCAACCUCGAGACGCCGGUGGAAACUGCAAAGCUAGAGUCCGGAAGAGGAGAGUGGAAUUCCGUGGUGUAGCGGUGAAAUGCGUAGAAUAUCUGGAGGAACACCGGUGGCGAAGGCGGCAUCCUGGA